rnacentral:lncRNA from 1 species
GGGCGGAUCUGAAGCACCAGAUGGAGUGCCUCCAAGCCGAAGAUCUGAAAACCCAAUAGAUCCCGCAGAAUCACUGUGUGAAGCUGCAUGACUGCUGCAGGAGGGUAUCGAUGAUGGUACAUGUAUGGAGGGGCCAACGGCUGUACAAUAGUACUGUGCUGGUGGUGGCACGGUCAUAGGAGCAGAAUGAGUCGGUGCAGAUCCAUGUAGUGGCC